UACGUAGGCAGCGAGCGUUGUUCGGAGUUACUGGGCGUAAAGGGUGUGCAGGCGGGCUGUUAAGUGGUGCAUGAAAUCUCCGCGCUUAACGUGGAGAGGCUGUGCCAGACUGGCAGUCUAGAGUACGAGAGAGGGUUGUGGAAUUCCGGGUGUAGUGGUGAAAUGCGUAGAGAUCCGGAGGAACACCAGAGGCGAAGGCGGCAACCUGGCUCGUUACUGACGCUCAUACACGACAGCAUGGGGAGCGAACGGG
rnacentral:rRNA from 1 species